GGGGCAUCCCGGUGCCGCCAAAGGGAUUACCGGUGGCGGAUGGGCAUGCGGCGCAUUAGCUAGUCGGCGGGGUAACGGCCCACCGAGGCGACGAUGCGUAGGGGUUCUGAGAGGAAGGUCCCCCACACUGGUACUGAGACACGGACCAGACUCCUACGGGAGGCAGCAGUGAGGAAUAUUGGUCAAUGGGCGCGAGCCUGAACCAGCCAAGUCGCGUGAGGGAUGACGGUCCUACGGAUUGUAAACCUCUUUUGCCGGGGAGCAAGCGUGCGUUCGUGAACGCGCGUCGAGAGUACCCGGAGAAAAAGCAUCGGCUAACUCCGUGCCAGUAGCCGCGGUAAUACGGAGGAUGCGAGCGUUAUCCGGAUUUAUUGGGUUUAAAGGGUGCGUAGGCGGGAUGCCAAGUCAGCGGUAAAAAUGCGGUGCUCAACGCCGUCGGGCCGUUGAAACUGGCGUUCUUGAGUGGGCGAGAAGUAUGCGGAAUGCGUGGUGUAGCGGUGAAAUGCAUAGAUAUCACGCAGAACUCCGAUUGCGAAGGCAGCAUACCGGCGCCCUACUGACGCUGAGGCACGAAAGCGUGGGUAUCGAACAGGAUUAGAUACCCUGGUAGUCCACGCAGUAAACGAUGAAUGCUAACUGUCCGGCUCGAAUGAGCGCUGGGCGGUACAGCGAAAGC
rnacentral:rRNA from 1 species